GAGGCCUGGAUCCCCAAUUCACCCCUCCAGGCUCGCCGGGGCGCACAGGGCCCCUCGCCCCUCCCCCGCCCGGCCCGGCCCGGCCUCGGGCUCAGCCCCACGGCGACCGAGCAUCCCCCGCUCCCCGCCGCCCUGCCCGGCCUGGGCCGAGGCCUCGCCACGGCCUGCCCGGCCCGGCCACUCUCCGCAGGCCUCGCGGUACCUGAGACUCCCGUCCUCGGCUUCCGCCGAGAGGGAGAGAGGGCGUCGCUUCGGCCCCGGGCCAGCCGCCCCUGGCUCGCCCUCGCCCCCGAGAGUCCGCCUGGGUGGGAGCGCCCGUCCGUCGCAUCGCUUUCCUCAGCUCCGUCCGUCCCCUCCCUGCCUCGCUCCUGCCGGGAAACGCCCGCCCCACCCCCAACUCCCGGUCUCCUCCCACGCCGGCGUCCACGGCCUUUUUUCUGUACCUUGUCGGAGUGGAAAUGGCGCCGCGCGGGGAACUAAGGUUCACGCUCAGGGGGUCUCGGGCAGACCAGCUGAGAGAAGGCGCACACACGCGGGGACGCAAGAUGGCAGCUAGAGGGAGGCCGGAAGUAACGCGACGCCACUUCCUCCAGAAUUCAGGAAGCGGAGUUGGCGUCGCCGCGCAUGCGCAGCCGGGGGCCGGUCCGCGGCUGUUUCUUUCCUUUCGUCCAGCGGCGGGCCGGGAGCAGCACCGGAGAGCUGGGACCCGCGGUCGCCGUCCGCGGUCCUGGGAAAGGCCGCGGAUAGAUCGGACAGUGAGGCUCCCUGUAGAGCUGUGGUUAAAUCAGUCUGCCCUGUGGCCACCCCGUAGGGCGUCCAGCUUUGUCCAGUAGGCUGCAGUGUCUGCUCAAUGCCGGGUGUAAAUAAAAAACUAUCGAAAUCAGCCAGGCUAAUGUUGCUUUCCAAAAUUAAGUGACUUGGGUGAUGUAGAAAUCGCGACUCAGAAUGUCUAGAAAGCAUGUUCGGAAUGCUUUCCAGAUCUCCACCCUUCAGCAAUUCGGUUUAUUCAAGGUUGAAACAGGGUAACAAGAUUUGUAACCUCUUAACCCUUCUACACCUCUACCAUCGACUCCCUGAUCUCGAAUCGUCAUGGAUUCGACCAUGAAGCAUUCACGAUGGAGCAAACUUUACCUUGAAUUCUUCCAAGAUGAAUUUGAGCCUGCGUGCUUGGGGGUAAAAACGUGGCUGAGACAACUACGUUGCUAUGUAGAAAAUUGUAACAAGUUCUUUUUCUUGAAACAACAACAAUGUUUCUUUUAUCCGAACAAGUAAGUUUGUCUCAGAAAACCAUGCUUGUUGUCUACCCUAUGAAGUACCUAACCAUUCUCCAAAUAACUGAGAUGAGGCAACAGAAUUCAGUGCUACAGAAAAUAUAUAAAACAUGACUGUGUUACAUAUGAUGGAUAAAAGGUUUUCCCCUAUUCUGUCAUGGUAUAGAAGACUUGUAUGAUUUUGAAAAUCACCAAACUGUAAGGAAGACGAUGUUUAUUUUGACCCUUGCUGCACCAGGACUUCAGAUUUUGCUAAUAUUUAUAUACCAGCCUUUUAAAAAACAAUCGAAGGACUUUGUUAUUGUUUUACUUUUCCUCUAGAAGUUACCAUUUGCGGUCUGUCUUCAGGACUACCAUUUCCCACUUGCUCCGGCUGUCUACAGCAAGUGUAAAGGCUUGCCUCCCACCCUUUACUGCUCAUAUAGAACAAUGCAAGAGCUGCUUACUUAGCAUUGUCAACAGAAUUCGAGAAAAAAAAAAAACAUGAUUGCUCUCCUUGAUUCAUAGGACAUGUCUAAACAAAAUAUAUGGUCAUUUUCAUCUCUGACUGGAACUUGAAUUGGCUUCAGCAAGAACCAGGUCACACCUAAGUCAUCAACAAGACUCUUGCAGAUUUCUUCUGGAGAGACAGAAAUAUCUGCAGCCAGGAGGACGGCUGUUGGAGGAAUUCAGGAGCAUUCGACGGAGUCUCCUGUAGUCGGCGAGUGGUCAGUUUUACACAUCCUCCUCAGGACCUCACAGGCAAGAACAGCAGGAUCUGCUUCCUUCAUGAAACCUUGGCUCUGUUCUAUCCAUCGACAGUCCUUCAGGAUACCUAACCUGUCCAGAAACCAAGGUGGGUGGGGGGAUGGACAGUACCACUUACCAUUCUCCCAUCAAUCCAUGACAGAAUUUGCUUUGUCUUCUACAGUGUUAUACUUUGCUGGCUGAGAGGCCUUAGUUCCAGCAAGGGAGGCAUCUUACCAGGAGAAAUAAUAAGAAUGGUGUCACUGAGCUGAAAAUUAGACUGCCACUUGGACGCUCUAGGCUCCUUGUGCCUCUGAGUCAACAGGCAAGGAAGGAAGUCAAGGGUGUUGCUGUAGGGUGGGGUGCUGAGUACUGAGGAGAAACUGGGCAACUACUCCACAGGUAAGGGAGGUAAGGAUAAGUGUGUCUGGACUAUAGGAGAAUGGCUCUAGUGAAGGCCCAUUGAAUAAAGGACCAUACCAGCUAAAGUUGCCAAAGGCAACAGAUAUCUACUGUGCAGUAGAAGAUAGUUAUAAAAACCAGCUAUGACCGUAUGGCAAGUCAUAGGAAUAAAAGCUAUAAUUGCUAUGGCUUCUCUCCAUGAAAGAGUGUGUAUUUGUAUGUGUAUUACUGUGCUGGAUAGUUUCAUGCCAACCUGACAUAAGCUGAGUCAUCUGAGAGAAGAGACCUUUGCCUUCCCCACAGAGAUAACGCGGACAUGCCGAGGGAUCCCCUUUACAUCCUUGUGCUCAAGUGGAUUCAGUGUCACAGUUCAAGCGCUUC
rnacentral:lncRNA from 1 species